UGAGGCGGAGGAGCCGCCGCCAUUUCGGUGUCGCUGCGAGCGGGGCCGGGGCAGCGCUCAGGGAGCGGCGAUGGAUCCCGCAGCCCGCCCGGGCGGCGGCGGCGCCCCGGGGCAGUCCCGCGAGUACAAACUGGUCAUGCUGGGCGCGGGAGGCGUCGGCAAGAGCGCCAUGACCAUGCAGUUCAUCAGUCACCGCUUCCCAGAGGAUCACGAUCCCACCAUCGAGGACGCCUAUAAAAUCCGGAUCCGCAUCGAUGACGAGCCGGCCAACCUGGACAUUCUGGACACAGCAGGGCAGGCCGAGUUCACAGCCAUGAGGGACCAGUACAUGAGGGCGGGGGAAGGUUUCAUCAUCUGCUACUCCAUCACGGACCGGCGCAGCUUCCACGAGGUGCGCGAGUUCAAGCAGCUCAUCUACCGCGUGCGCCGCACCGACGACACGCCCGUGGUGCUGGUGGGCAACAAGUCCGACCUGAGCCAGCUGCGCCAGGUGUCCAAGGAGGAGGGCUCUGCCCUGGCCAGGGAGUUCAGCUGCCCCUUCUUCGAGACGUCGGCCGCCUUCCGCUACUACAUCGACGACGUGUUCCACGCGCUGGUGCGCGAGAUCCGCCGCAAGGACCGGGAGGCCGCCGCCGCCAUGGAGAGGAAAUCCAAGCCCAAGAGCAGCGUCUGGAAAAGGCUCAAGUCCCCCUUCAGGAGGAAGAAGGAUUCGGUCACUUGAGCAGCGAAUUCCUCUGCAGAGCAGGACAGAAGCUGUGACCUUUUGCAGCCACGGGAGCUCGGUGACACCGCUGAGGGGACGUGGGACACCUGAGGGGUUGUGAGGGAGGGAACGCCCGCCCUGCCCGUUGUGUGUGUUUAGAACCAUUCCUGCCUUGAUCCUGGGUGCUGAACUUCUCACCCAGCACCAGUUGUGUUUGUUUGUUGUCAUUUUAUUUCACUGCACCCACCAGGUCACCAAAGGCCGUGGGUUGGUGGCCCUGCCCUUUGGUUUGUGCUUGGUCACAGCAGAGGAGCUGAACUGAAACAUUGCUGGAAUUGGAUCCAGCCUGGCUGAAUCUGGGGUUUUUCCUGGUGGAAAAGAGGAUUUUGCUGCUCCCCACAGUGUGAGGGGCUGAGCAAAGGGUCGUGGCCUUGGAGGUCACCGAAUUCCUUUUGGGACAGAUUUCUUUCCAGCAAAAUGGAAUCUCUGUGUGCAACUUCACCCCAGUGAUCAGUGCUGUGGGUGGGAAUUCAGCAAACCAGAAUAAUCCCAGAAUCGUUCCAGAUGGAAAUAUCCCUGGGGUCAGUGAGCCAGCAGCACCCUGUCAGCACAGCCAGGCCCUCAGACAGCCCAGGUGGGUUGGUGGCCCUGCCCUUUGGUUUGUGCUUGGUCACAGCAGAGGAGCUGAACUGUGCAAAACAUGGCUGGGGUUGGACCCAGCCUGGCUGAAUCUGGGGUUUUCCUGGUGGAAAAGAGGAUUUUGCUGCUCCCCACAGUGUGAGAGGCUGAGCAGUGUCAUGGCCUUGGAGGCCACCAGAUUUCUUUUGGGACAGAUUUCUUUCCAGCAAAAUGGAAUCUCUGUGUGCAACUUCACCCCAGUGAUCAGUGCUGUAGGUGGGAUGUCACAAACCAGAAUAAUCCCAGAAUCAUUUCAUCUGGAAAGGUCCCUGUCAGCACAGCCAGGCCCUCAGACAGCCCAGGUGGGUUGGUGGCCCUGCCCUUUGGUUUGUGCUUGGUCACAGCAGAGGAGCUGAACUGAAACAUUGCUGGAAUUGGAUCCAGCCUGGCUGAAUCUGGGGUUUUCCUGGUGGAAAAGAGGAUUUUGCUGCUCCCCACAAUGACAGCCCACAGUGUGAGAGGCUGAGCAAAGUCAUGGCCUUGGAGGUCACUGAAUUUCUUUUGGGACAGAUUUCUUUCCAGCAAAAUGGAAUCUUUGUGUGCAACUUCACCCCAGUGAUCAGUGCUGCAGGUGGAUGUCACAAACCAGAAUAAUCCCAGAAUCGUUUAAUCUGGAAAUAUCCUGGGAUCAGUGAGCCAGCACCCCCUGUCAGCAUAGCCAGGCCCUCAGACACCCAGGGACAGCGAGAGCCGGGCAGGGACCAGACCCUGGGAAGCUCAGCAAGAGGGGCUGAUGCUCUCAAGAUUGAUUUUGAUGCUCUAAAGAUGGAUUGGAUCAUCUAAAGAUUGAUUUUGAUUCUCUAAAGAUGGAUUUGA